AAUUUUAGAAGAUGGAUUUAAAAGAAAAUUCCUCUAUAUUAAAUUCUGUUACGAAAGUUAGCCAAGAUUUAUGAAAUGAUAUACGCUUGAGCACCAACGACCAACAAAUCUCAGAGAACAAAUCCAAAUUUGAACAAACAAAUUCUUCAGUGCCAGUUCAAAAGAACUGUCUACAUCACCAAAUGUAUUACCAAGAAAUUAUGUCACCAACCAUCCAAUUGGAGAACAAAUUAAAACAGACAAAAAUCAAAGUGUAUGUAAUGACUCCAUUGAU